rnacentral:lncRNA from 1 species
CAUAAAUUUUGUCGAAUCACUCUGCAAGAUGGACCAAUAAAAUGUUGUGCCAAUUAUAGGUUACUGAUUUACAAUAACAUUGUUGUGUAAUCAUAAUUGCAGGCACUUUUCUGUCAUUGGGAAAGAAGAGAGGUGAUCUCAAGAUUUUAUGGACAAGAGGAGAACCAGAAAGACCUUGUCCUCAUCAUAGUCAAGAAGACAAUUAACCAAUCAAACAGACUUGUAUGUUUAGCUAUAUAUUAGUUUAUAUAGGAGAGUGAUAGUAACUGUUGGAUAUUUUCGAAAAUAUAUUUGAAAGGUUACAAUGGUUAAUUUGAAAUUCAAAUUUACAAUUUUGAAAUCCUUUCAUAGGUUGUGUCCCUUCAUCAUUUGACAUAAGUUUCUCUAUAAAUAGAGACACUUAGGAGGCAUAAAACAUAUCAGAAAAUCAUGUUUCCAUGAGUAAGAAAUUAUGCCUAUAAUAUCUAAAUCAUUUCUUCAUUUGUCUAGUGCACGAGAGUAUUUGAAGAAACUUUAUUCUGUAAAAUAUCAUUAUUUGAUAUGCUUGAUAUGUAUGUGCAAUCCAUGUCAAGGUUUCCAAAGUAUCCUGAAGGGGAUUCGCCGGUUAACCCUUUUGCAUCCAGUUUAUGGUGGGGGCGAAUCGAACCUAAAGUUUAGUGUGAUACACACGCUUUGGAAUUUGUGCAAUAUGUUCUUCAUGUUCUUCAUCAUCAUCUUCUUGUUCGAGUAUUUGCAGCAGUUCCCCAACACAUUGUUCUAACAGCAACUAUUUAGGAGAUUGUGUUAACAUAUGUAACAAAAUUCCAGCCAAAUGGUUCUACUGUGUGCUGUAAAUUUUAUUUUUUUUCUUCUGAGAUAGGUCAGAAGAUUAUUUAAGAGAUUCUAUAUUCUUGUUGACGGCUUUGUUUCAAUGAGAAUCUUCUCCAAUACCAGGUCUUGCAAAGAGAAAUAACAUUGAGAAGCUCCAUUCAAAAGAGAGAAGACUAAUAAAAGGCUUGCUUACAUUGAGAAGCUGCUAAAUACUGAGUCAUAACUUGUAUUGUAAUGUAAUAUUAUUGUGAAUUNNN